rnacentral:lncRNA from 1 species
AUGUUGCACUUAAUAGUUUGUGGUCUCAGCUCUUGUUUAUAUAAAACGUUUGACCACAGCUCUAAAACACCUCAUCGUGUAGGUGGGGAACUUGUCAUAGGAACUCAGAUGGUAGGACCCGUUGGCUGGUUACUGCUAGCCCUUGCCAGCUUUGUCCUCACUGGCUGCCAACACCCCCCGCCCCCGGGACCCUGCUACAGACACCAGAUUUUUUGAAGGAACACAUACAGAAGAAGAGGAAGAAAGUUCUCCCAAGUUUGACUCAGAAAACUUCUGAAAGAAUUCCCUACAUAUGCUGCCUCUGCUGAUUUCCUCCUGGAUUCUCAACAAAACUGAGGCCGAUCUCUAUACCUUAUCACAUAACCAUGGGACUGGAAAUGCUUCCUCAGAGGUAACUAAUGAUUUUCUGAUUAUUCCGCUUCUUUUCAUUCUUUCUCGUAUUCAACUUUCCCAUAUCAACUUACAAUUCUGAUCGUACUUUUCUUCAUGAAACUCUCUUUACUUUGGUGUAUAAAACUCUGGUUUUGUUUUUUUCAGUUCUUCUCCUCUUCCCUUUUCCCCGUCUUUCCUUUCAACAUACCUUUUAAGUGGCACUGUCCUUAGAUUUCGGACUCUAGCUUCUUCCCUUUCCACAUUGUGUAUCUCUCCAGGUUAGCUCAGCCUCUCUCUUGACUUCACAUCUUCAUCUCAUAAGUGACAAGUAUACACCUGUGACCCAAGCUUUCUUGUGACACCAUGUGAAAACUUUCAUCUGCCUGCAUGACAUUUCUACCAGGACAUUCCACCACAGCUCAGAAUAGAUCUGUCACCCUCCCUAAAAUGUAUUGCUUUGCUCGCAGUCAGUAUCUCAGCCAGUGGCACCCCCACCCUGAGGCAUCCCUUCUGUGGGAUGAAAACAUCCCACAGCCAUCUCUCUUACAAUCCCAUCUUUUCACUAACUCUGGUUCAUUUUAAUUCUGAUAUGGUCCUGGUUUUAUCUGCUUCUUUGCUCAUUACGAAGCCCGAUUUCUAACCAUUAUCUGUUUUCAUCUGGAUUACUACUAAAGCCUUUGGUUUCAUCUUUCUGCCUACCCUGUACUCCCUCCUCAAACGAGAAGUGCAAUUGCUCCAAUAUAUUUCCCACACAAGGCCCAAUCAUGUCACUCUUCCCACACACUUUUCUGGUUCCCUGUUACCUGUAAUAUAUAGCAUAAACUCUAGCUGGGCCCUCCUUCAGAGCUCUUCCUGCUGGUACCCCGCCUCCCCACCCCUCCUGUGUUGCUCCUUCACUUGUGUGCAACUUUGUCACCCCAUCCCAUUGCUCAUGUCCUCCCCUCUACUUAAAAUACCAUUUCCUUUUUCCUCCUUUUCCUACUUCUUCUAAUUCAAUUCAACCCUUCUUGACCUAAGGCAGUCAACUGGGGACCAAAAAAAAAUACUGGUACUCAGAGAAUGUGGUCUGAGUGUAUUUAAUAUGCUGAUUCAGACAUUUGGUAAUUCCUGGAAUUGCAAACUACUUUCUUAAGUAAAACUAUCUCAUGAUAUUUGUUAGCUGUUCCUGUGGGGGAAAGCAAAGAACAUCAUUGAGUAACAUGAAAACGGAAGGAAAAUGACAGAGAAUGACAAAACCAAUGUUCCUUAAUGUGACCAUGUGGAAUGGAAUGUCUUUUGGUAUACAAUGCAUCUUUGAGCACAGCCAUGGGGAUUGCUGUGGUCAAUAGACUUCUCAAUAGAAAGUAAUCAGAGCCAGUUUUCCUAAGAAUUAUUUUCCAAGGAAUUUCCCUUACUACAAUCCAGGUUUAAAAAUAACUCACAGAAACAGACAAAGGGGAAAAGGGAGAAGUUUAUCAUCCAUAAACAAAUGUAAAAACCAACAAAUUUGUAAGAACAAGUCAACUAAACCUAAAUGCAAAAUAGUAUGCUAAAUUUGAGAGAGAUGCAUAUAGAGAGUAAGAGGUAAUUGGAAGCAGAUAUUCUGAGGGUCAGAUUUCUUUUGGCCAAUUGCUGAAGAAAUAUACCAUUUCAGUCCACUUGGACCCAGUUUUGCUCUCCAAAAACUAGAAGAUCUUUAAGUAU